AAAGUUUUGGCCGAGAAGUGGGGGCUCACUGUGUGCUGUUGGUAUACACACAACCUUCAGCAUAGCCGGUACUCCAAGAAAUAGAGAAUUGGGCAAAGUUCCCGUCCUGUGGAGCUUACAGUCGGAAAAAUCCUCUACACAUGAAGAAGGCUGGCAGAAUAGCAGUUGAUCCGCAGUGGGAGCCCGAAGAGUGAAGAGAGCACAACUAGAAAGACAUUCCAAAAAUGGCUGUAUGGUAUUUAGAGAUCUGCGUACCAGCUGCACUGUGCACAUAUUUGCAGAGGCUUCUGUUCAGCUAAGAAUGGGCUGUGGACUCAGGACGCUUAAUCGAAGCGGUGGCUCAGAAGUAGACUGUUCAGUCUUGAGCGAAGCAGAUGAGAAGUGGAAUUGGUCUCAACCAGAUGAACCAGGUACUCUUCAGACUCUGAGUCCUGUAAUGAUCUUGAAAUGAUACUGAGUCAGAGCUAAGUGAGAAUUAAGUUCCUGCCACCUCCGAGUUAAGCAACGCUCUGCAUUAGUGAUCCAGUGUCUCAAUCAGGGCAGGAAGAGGUAAGGAAACUGUUUGCUUCGUCCUUCUUAGUGCACAAACCGUUCUACAGGGACUGGGAACGAGACAUCUGCCAGAAAAGAGGGAGAUAGAAGGUAUCUUAGGGUUACAGUUGUUUCCUGUGGCUGUGCAUUUGCUUUGGUUUAGUUUUCCUUUCCCCUCCCCCUUACCACAAUUCAAGACUAUGUAGGAGCUCUUUUCUCCCCUUUACCUGUAUUUAGUUCCUUUAAUUAGGUGAUAAUUUUGUAAUCUGAGGGAUUUAAAGGCAAUCCCGUUCUCCCUUUCUGCCUUGCUAGUUGUAGCCUCUUAUUCCUGACCCUGCCACAGUUGCAAUGCCGUGCUGUGAAACAAAGUUCAAAGGUCCUUUUUGUUUGUUUUUCACCUUGCAUUCCUUCCCUUUCCCUUGCAUUCCUGCUCAGUGUAGCCCCAGCAGCUCUUUUCCCGCAUGUGGAGCAUCAGGCACAUCCCCCAGGCCUCCUACUGAAAUCUUUACCUCCCUCAAACACGACCUUGGGCUGGAUCUCAGCCCUCAUGCAGGUGCUGAGCACAGAACAAAGUUCAAGUCCAUUUAAGAGCUAUUUCAGGGGCUUAAGUGGGCAUGAGAUAGCGUGCAAUUUUAACGCAUAUCCUCUGUGCAGGAUAAAUUUGAUGUUAAUUGUAGUGAAACUGCUGUGGUGGAUAGUCUUUCUAGCGAUGAGUGAUGUGUGCUUAUUCCUUUGCAAUAGCAGCUAUGUGACUUCUUCAUUUAUACAAUCAACCUGAAACUGUCUUGAUUAAAGAAGGUUUGUAAUUGCUGCUAUCACAAAAAUUGUAAUGGAAAAAGCAGUUGCAGCAGUAUGUCUCCAGAAUGCUGUCUCCAACUCCUAUACCUUGCUAAACAUUGCAGAUAGCUUCUCCCGGUGAUGGAGACGUGGAGCUCAUCUGAACAUGGGACAGAUUUGAGUAAUCUCUUUCACCUGUCCAGCAACACAGAAUUGUUCUUUGCCUUUCAUUUGCUCGUGCUUUGCCCAGGCUAGUCACAACCAACAAAACUUCAGCUGUUUGGGCAAGUGUAUCGCAAGCUGCACCUCGGUCUUAGGAAAUUUAUCUUGCUGUUCAAAACAAUUCCUCGCACUCCUUGACAUUUACUCCUAUGGGUAUUUGUAGGCUGUUAUGUCUGCCCUUACUUGUUGUUUAACCUAGCAAUAAGCAUUUAGCUGUCCUCAUAAAUCAUUUCCCCUCAGCUCUUUAGCUGCCUGUGCUCCUAAAUAUGAAAAACCCAGGCUAAGCCUACCCUUUUGUGCUGGUUUUGGCUGGGGUAGAGUUAAUUUUCUUCAUAGUAGCUAGUUUGGGGCUAUGUUUUGGAUUUGUGCUGGAAACAGUGUUGAUAAUACAGGGAUGUUUUAGUUAUUUCUGAGCAGUGCUUACAGAGAGUCAAGGCCUUUUCUGCUUCUCACCCCACCCCACCAGUGAGGAGGCUGGGGGUGCACAAGAAGCUGGGAGGGGACACAGCCGGGACAGCUGACCCCACUGCCGAAAGGGAUAUUCCAGACCAUAGGACGUCAUGCUCAGCAUAUAAAGCUGGGGGAAGAAGAAGGAAGGGGGGACGUUUGGAGUUGAUGGCGUUUGUCUUCCCAAGUAACCGUUACGUGUGAUGGAGCCCUGCUUUCCUGGAGAUGGCUGAACACCUGCCUGCUGAUGGGAAGUAGUGAAUGAAUUCCUUGUUUUGCUUUGCUUGUGUGCACGGCUUUUGCUUUACCUAUUAGACUGUCUUUAUCUCAACCCACAAGUUUUCUCACUUUUACCCUUCCGAUUCUCUCCCCCAUCCCACUGUGAGGGAAGUGAGUGAGCAGCUGUGUGGUGCUUAGUUGCUGGCUGGGGUUAAACCACGACACCUUUCAAUGACUAGUCCCCACAGGAUUUUAUUGAUGGCACAAAAUCAUUGCUCAAGCCAUGAUUUCAUAGCUGGCUUAUUGCAUGAUCCUUUGCUGAUUAUACUAACCUAAGGAUCUAUAUCAGCAGUUCUCUGGGUUUCUUUCCCGCAUCCUCCCACAUUCUCUUAAGACUUGUUCCACCUCUUCCCCCAACUUUAAAACCACUAAUUCAGGCUCCCUGCCCCUUCUCCCCAAGAGCACAUCUUCUGGGAGUAGCGGAGGCUGCAGGGAGUGUCCCUGCUGCCUCUGCUCCCACUUCCUUCGUCCCUCACUCUUCGUUGAAAGACUUCUCUCCGGCCAGAAGCUGGUUCCCAGGAGCAGCUGGAAGGUGGGCUUCCACAGCACAUCUCCUGGGAUCGGUGUCUGCAGUUCCCUGGAGCAGGGUUGGAAGAAUCAUCCAUUUGCCUUGCAGCAGAAGAAGAGUUCGGUUGUAAAUUUGGGUUGACUUGUUCAAAAGCGACUUUUGUUUCACCUCUGAGCUACAGUCUGCCCUUUAAAAUUCUGAACAUUUAUUUUGAUUCUUCGGAAGACUGAAUUGUCUUCUGACAUGAGGAGGAGGGUCAUAUACAAGCAUGAAUUAAGUUAAAUUGUAUCUAUCUGGGAAGUUUAGUCUUGUUUAAUGGCUUUGUUCAGUUAUUCUACCUGUUCAUUAUCUUUACAUAAACAUUAAAAUAAUACAAUCAUUACAUUUUCUCCUCUAAAAUAAAGGAGAUUCUUA